UACGGGGGGGGCAAGCGUUGUUCGGAAUUACUGGGCGUAAAGGGUGCGUAGGCGGCCGUGCAAGUCUGGCGUGAAAGCCCCGGGCUCAGCCCGGGAAGUGCGCUCGAAACUGCGCGGCUCGAGUGCCGGAGGGGAGAGUGGAAUUCCUGGUGUAGCGGUGAAAUGCGUAGAUAUUCGCAAGAACACCAGUGGCGAAGGCGGCUCACUGGUCCGGUUCUGACGCUGAGGCGCGAAAGCGUGGGGAGCAAACAGG
rnacentral:rRNA from 1 species